rnacentral:rRNA from 1 species
GAUGAACGCUGGCGGCGUGCCUAAUACAUGCAAGUCGAGCGAACGGACGAGAAGCUUGCUUCUCUGAUGUUAGCGGCGGACGGGUGAGUAACACGUGGAUAACCUACCUAUAAGACUGGGAUAACUUCGGGAAACCGUAGCUAAUACCGGAUAAUAUUUUGAACCGCAUGGUUCAAAAGUGAAAGACGGUCUUGCUGUCACUUAUAGAUGGGUCCGCGCUGCAUUAGCUAGUUGGUAAGGUAACGGCUUACCAAGGCAACGAUGCAUAGCCGACCUGAGAGGGUGAUCGGCCACACUGGAACUGAGACACGGUCCAGACUCCUACGGGGGGCAGCAGUAGGGAAUCUUCCGCAAUGGGCGAAAGCCUGACGGAGCAACGCCGCGUGAGUGAUGAAGGUCUUCGGAUCGUAAAACUCUGUUAUUAGGGAAGAACAUAUGUGUAAGUAACUGUGCACAUCUUGACGGUACCUAAUCAGAAAGCCACGGCUAACUACGUG